rnacentral:rRNA from 1 species
CUCAUUAAAUCAGUUAUAGUUUAUUUGAUGGUCUCUUUUGUCUUUUUUUACCUACUUGGAUAACCGUGGUAAUUCUAGAGCUAAUACAUGCGCAAGGUCCCGAGCGCGGGGGGUGGGGCUUCACGGCUCCAUUCUCGCAUGCGCAGAGGGAUGUAUUUAUUAGGUUAAACAACCAGCAUCUUCUCAUUUCUGGUGAUUCACAGUAACUCUUUCGGAUCGCAUUCAUG